UAAGGAAAUCCCGUAUCCCUUCCUUCUCCAUGAAAAUUUCAUAGCAAAAUCUUUAAAAUCUUAUAUCUUCUUCGUUUCUCAACGGAAUUGAGCGAUUCUCGCGGCCACAGAACAAGGAAAGGAUCCUAUACUGGAUUAUGAGUUAAAUUUGAGGUGUCUAGUUUUGGCAAGCCGGACUUCUACUCUUGUUCAAGAAGUCUGAAGUAUGUACAUGAUCAGUAGUGCUGUAGUAGUGCUGUAGUAGAGCUGAGUCCUAGUCCGUUUGUAUGUUUGUAAAACGGUUUUCAUGUGUGUAAACUCUGAUAAGUAUGUAUGUGUUUGAAUUUCGCUUUUAAAACCGUUUGUUUUAUUUUGGAA